CCCAGUCGGUGUCCUCAUAAGCUCGCAGUGUCGUGCAGGAAUGGUGUGACAGCCUCUCGCUCAUCCUCAGGAAGGCGUAUAGAAGACCUUGACCUUUCUUACCUGGACUCCUUGGCUCAGUUUCUUCUCUUGGGAGGUGAGUUUAGCAUUAUUGGAUGUGUGCAGCAUCUCAGUCCCGGAAAGGCUGCGGAGUUCUGGGCAGGUUCUGGUUGUGAAAGAAAGGUAUGGGUCUUGUGUAGAGGUGGGUGUGUCA
rnacentral:lncRNA from 1 species